GUCCUUGGUCUGGGCUCUUGUUAUAUUCUCCAUGCUUUGUGGCGACAGGGUAUUAUGCAUUGCGCUAAGGUCGGGUCAGGUCGGGUCAGGUCAGGUUAAGUUAGGUUAGGUUCUAAUAGUUUGUAAUAGAGAUGAUAGGUUAGGUUAGGUUAGGUUAGGUUCUAAUAGUUUGUAAUAGAGAUGAUAGGUUAGGUUAGGUUCUAAUAGUUUGUAAUAGAGAUGAUAGGUUAGGUUAGGUUAGGUUCUAAUAGUUUGUAAUAGAGAUGAUAGGUUAGGUUAGGUUAGGUUAGGUUCUAAUAGUUUGUAAUAGAGAUGAUAGGUUAGGUUAGGUUAGGUUCUAAUAGUUUGUAAUAGAGAUGAUAGGUUAGGUUAGGUUAGGUUCUAAUAGUUUGUAAUAGAGAUGAUAGGUUAGGUUAGGUUCUAAUAGUUCAUAAUCAAUACUUUUUUUUUUACAGAGGAGUCAGUUGAAGGGCAUUAAAAAAAGGAAACAAAUGUAAAAAAAAAUCUUCUGGUUAAGGAUUGAUUCAAAAGCAAUAGACAGGCAAGAAAGUAAAGCUACAGGAUGAUGACGAUGAUGGGUUAGGUUAGGUUACGUUAAAAUAGUUUGUAAUGAAGAGAUGAUAGGUUAGGUUAAGUUAGGUUAUAAUAGUUUGUAAUAGAGACGAUAGAUUAGGUUAGGUUAUAAUAGUUUGUAAUGAAGAGAUGAUAGGUUAGGUUAAGUUAGGUUAUAAUAGUUUGUAAUAGAGAUGAUAGGUUAGGUUAGGUUAGGUUAGGUUCUAAUAGUUUGUAAUAGAGAUGAUAGGUUAGGUUAGGUUCUAAUAGUUUGUAAUAGAGAUGAUAGGUUAGGUUAGGUUAGGUUCUAAUAGUUUGUAAUAGAGAUGAUAGGUUAGGUUAGGUUAGGUUCUAAUAGUUUGUAAUAGAGAUGAUAGGUUAGGUUAGGUUAGGUUCUAAUAGUUUGUAAUAGAGAUGAUAGGUUAGGUUAAGUUAGGUUAUAAUAGUUUGUAAUAGAGACGAUAGGUUAGGUUAGGUUUUAAUAGUUUGUAAUGAAGAGAUGAUAGGUUAGGUUAAGUUAGGUUAUAAUAGUUUGUAAUAGAGAUGAUAGGUUAGGUUAGGUUUUAAUAGUUUGUAAUGAAGAGAUGAUAGGUUAGGUUAAGUUAGGUUAUAAUAGUUUGUAAUAGAGAUGAUAGGUUAGGUUAGGUUAUAAUAGUUUGUAAUAGAGACGAUAAGUUAGGUUAGGUUUUAAUAGUUUGCAAUAAAGAAGGACACGGCCUGAUUAAGAGCUAUGAUUUAUAAACUAAUCAAACAAACUAGGUAACCUGGUGUAGUGUUUGACGACCUGCCUGGGUGUAAGUAAGGUCAGGGUGAGGGAUAAACAAAGGUGUGUUAUUUAAGCAAUAGUUGUGAGAGGGGUUGUUCCUACCUACACUCAGAAUACUGCACUUCCCUACAUUGAACUCCAUCUGCCAUUUAUCCGCCCAGUCAUACAAUCUGUUUAGUUCAUCCUGGAGAAUACUAGCGUCCUGAUCCGACUCAAUUACUCAACCGGUUCAAUUUGAUUCAAGUGCGUUAUAAAAGGAUUCCAACUUGUACUCUGAGUUCAGCUACAAAACUGAGUACAUGGACUUGGAUUAGUGAUAUCGUAAUGUUAUUGUACUUGGAUUCGAGUACAAAUAAUUUAAGAAAACCAAGUCUACACCACAUACCACACACCGCCAGUCCCCCACACCACACCACACACCACCACCACGA